rnacentral:rRNA from 1 species
UACGGAGGGUGCAAGCGUUAUCCGGAUUCACUGGGUUUAAAGGGUGCGUAGGCGGGCAGUUAAGUCAGUGGUGAAAUCUCCGGGCUUAACCCGGAAACUGCCAUUGAUACUAUCUGUCUUGAAUAUCGUGGAGGUAAGCGGAAUAUGUCAUGUAGCGGUGAAAUGCUUAGAUAUGACAUAGAACACCAAUUGCGAAGGCAGCUUACUACCCGAAUAUUGACACUGAGGCACGAAAGCGUGGGGAUCAAACAGG